GAUGAACGCUGGCGGCGUGCCUAAUACAUGCAAGUAGAACGCUGAAGGAGGAGCUUGCUCUUCUGGAUGAGUUGCGAACGGGUGAGUAACGCGUAGGUAACCUGCCUGGUAGCGGGGGAUAACUAUUGGAAACGAUAGCUAAUACCGCAUGACAACAGUUAUUGCAUGAUAACUGUUUAAAAGGGGCAACUGCUCCACUACCAGAUGGACCUGCGUUGUAUUAGCUAGUUGGUGAGGUAACGGCUCACCAAGGCGACGAUACAUAGCCGACCUGAGAGGGGGAUCGGCCACACUGGGACUGAGACACGGCCCAGACUCCUACGGGAGGCAGCAGUAGGGAAUCUUCGGCAAUGACGGAAGUCUGACCGAGCAACGCCGCGUGAGUGAAGAAGGUUGUCGGAUCGUAAAGCUCUGUUGUAAGAGAAGAACGAGUGUGAGAGUGGAAAGUUCACACUGUGACGGUAUCUUACCAGAAAGGGACGGCUAACUACGUG
rnacentral:rRNA from 1 species